rnacentral:lncRNA from 1 species
UCCACAAAUAUCAGUCUCAAAAGCAAGCCUUGCAAGUCCGAAACCUAUUCUAGUGUGUUGAUCUCUUCGUUCGUAUUAAUAUUUUGUUUUGCUGUUAGUUUGUUGUCGGAGUGUGCUGCGAUUGAAAAUGUCUGAGUUGUUGGAGAAAGCCAAGAACUUUGCGGCAGAGAAAGUGGGUCAUGCAAAGAAGCCAGAGGCAGAAGUCACAGAUGUUGAUUACAAGACGCUGAGCUUAGGAUCUGUUGAGUACCUUGCUAAAAUCUCUGUGACCAAUCCCUAUGGAGUUGACCUCCCCAUCUGUGAUAUCACUUACACCCUCAAGAGUGUUGGCAGGUUCCAAUUCUCACUUUUUAUUUUAACACUUUUGAGUUCAAUUUUUAUUUGUUUAUUUUUGUUAUAGAUACUCUUUUGAUCCAUGUGUUUUACUUGAAUUUUCUAAUUUGGUUUUUGUGUUUUCAAUUUCGUCAAUUUUGUCCUAUGUUUUCAUUCUCAUAACAUAUAUAUUUGGUGUUAGUUUUACUUUGUCGAAAGAGAUCUCGAGUUCGAACCAAUACACAAUAUUUAAAUAAAAAAACAAAAAAGAUUAGUUCUAUGCCAUGCUCAUGGAUAUAAAGUGACUUGAUUUGUAUGUGUACGUGUGAAUUUGUAGGGAGAUUACAUCUGGAACUGUACCAGAUCCUGGUUCAAUAGAAGGAAAGGACAUUACUGUGCUUGAGGUACUAUUAAAGGUGCCACAUAGCAUAUUGUUGACCUUGGCAAAAGAUAUUGGAGCAGAUUGGGACAUUGAUUAUGAGCUGGAUAUAGGCCUCACCAUUGACCUUCCUGUCAUUGGCAACUUCACCAUACCACUUAACAAGAAGGGAGCGAUCAAGCUUCCCAGCGUCUUCUGAUCCAUAUGACCUUUGGGAUUCUAUGGGUUUGGUUAUGUUCUGUAACUUUUCUUUUGUUGUUAAUUUAAGUACAUUAAGAUAUGGACUCUGUCUUUGCUCAGCACACAGUGUUUUAAGUUUUUUUGGUUUUUUGUUUUCAGUUGGUUGUUAUCUUCCAACUCUGUCUAUGUGGGCAGGGGUUCGAAGUUGAGUAUUUGUGUUAAUCUUCCUUCCUCAAUCGUUUAUAUAAAAAAUAUUUAAGUUUUUUAAAAAUAUUUUAUAUACCAGUGAUAUUGGAAGGGCUCUUAAUAAUUUAAUUAAAAAUAUAAUAAAAAU